rnacentral:rRNA from 1 species
UGGGGAAUAUUGCACAAUGGGCGCAAGCCUGAUGCAGCAACGCCGCGUGAAGGAUGAAGGCCUUCGGGUUGUAAACUUCUGUUUUAAGGGAAGAAACAAAUGACGGUACCUUAGGAGCAAGCCCCGGCUAAUUACGUGCCAGCAGCCGCGGUAAUACGUAGGGGGCAAGCGUUAUCCGGAAUUAUUGGGCGUAAAGAGUGCGUAGGUGGUUACCUAAGCGCAAGGUUUAAUUUAGAGGCUCAACCUCUACUUGCCUUGCGAACUGGGAUACUUGAGUGCAGGAGGGGAAAGCGGAAUUCCUAGUGUAGCGGUGAAAUGCGUAGAUAUUAGGAGGAACACCAGCGGCGAAGGCGGCUUUCUGGACUGUAACUGACACUGAGGCACGAAAGCGUGGGUAGCAAACAGGAUUAGAUACCCUGGUAGUCCACGCCGUAAACGAUGAGCACUAGGUGUUGGGCCCGUUAGGGCUCAGUGCCGCAGUUAACGCAAUAAGUGCUCCGCCUGGGGAGUACGCUCGCAAGAGUA